CUUACAUCGGUGGGAUGCCCCUCUUGUUGAUGGAAUUUCCUGCUGAGCUUCAUCUUUCCCAGGCUUUAGAGUUGUCUGAUGCUUGCCCUAUCUACUGUCUCCUCCUUCAGAAAUCUUGAUAUCCAUUAUGUCUUAUGUUUUUGAGAGCCACAAAAUGGUUAAAAAGAAGUAAAUAUAUAUACUACCAUAUUUGGAAAUAAAUUCCUAUAUAUACAUAUAUAUU
rnacentral:lncRNA from 13 species